AGUAAAAGUCGUAACAAGGUUUCCGUAGGUGAACCUGCGGAAGGAUCAUUACCGAGUGAGGGCCCUCUGGGUCCAACCUCCCACCCGUGUUUAUUUUACCUUGUUGCUUCGGCGGGCCCGCCUUAACUGGCCGCCGGGGGGCUUACGCCCCCGGGCCCGCGCCCGCCGAAGACACCCUCGAACUCUGUCUGAAGAUUGUAGUCUGAGUGAAAAUAUAAAUUAUUUAAAACUUUCAACAACGGAUCUCUUGGUUCCGGCAUCGAUGAAGAACGCAGCGAAAUGCGAUACGUAAUGUGAAUUGCAAAUUCAGUGAAUCAUCGAGUCUUUGAACGCACAUUGCGCCCCCUGGUAUUCCGGGGGGCAUGCCUGUCCGAGCGUCAUUUCUGCCCUCAAGCACGGCUUGUGUGUUGGGCCCCGUCCUCCGAUCCCGGGGGACGGGCCCGAAAGGCAGCGGCGGCACCGCGUCCGGUCCUCGAGCGUAUGGGGCUUUGUCACCCGCUCUGUAGGCCCGGCCGGCGCUUGCCGAUCAACCCAAAUUUUUAUCCAGGUUGACCUCGGAUCAGGUAGGGAUACCCGCUGAACUUAAGCAUAUCAAUAAGCGGAGGAAAAG
rnacentral:rRNA from 1 species